GCGGUCCUUUCCCGCAAUGAAACAGAGGACAUUCUAUGCUACGUUCCUGUCGGUGUGGGCGACCUCGGGGCGGAGCAGGAACGGCCAUGGGAUGGCGACCCUGGGGGCAGGGCAGGCGCGUGCCGGCGGCGGCGACCGCGGGGAGGCGUGGGUUGGCGGCGGCGGACGCGGGGCAGAGCAGCCGCGUGCCAGGGACGACGCCCUGGGCGGAGCAGGCGCGGAACUAGGAUGGGGACCUUGGGCCGGUGGCGGCGCGGGCCUGGGGCGGAGCACGCGCGGGCUCGCGGCGGCCACGUCGGGGCGAAGUAGGCAGGGUCCGGCGGACCGCGGGGCGUGCCAGCUGCCUGCCAGGGAUGGCGUCCUUGCGGCAGAGCAAGCAGGGGUCGGCGGCGGCCACGUUCGGGCGGAGCAGCCAGCGGCUAGCGGUGGAGAAAAAUGGCAGCGGCCGGAUGAAGAAGAAACAACAGGUUAAAGCUCCUCCUAACACACGCAUGUUGAAUGUUGUGAAGCAGAAAAUUGUGGUGUGUACUGUAUUAUUGCCCGUCACAUGUUUGUUGUUGUGUUUCUUAGAAUUGAAACUAUUUUUCUACGGUUCUAUGGUGAUCUGUCAUGUAGGUUGCAAGAAUCUUUGCCUUCAUCUGUUCAUUCCGCUACAUCAGUUGACCUUCCUUUUUGUUGGCCUACAUGUACCACAUGCAUUAAUAGGUUUGGUGGUGGUGAUUUUAGUCUUAAGGAUUUAAAUGAUAUUUUGUUAUUUUUCUCACGAUGUAAGCCUGAACCUGGCUCAAGAAGAUUAAGGUAACUAAUUGAGAUGAACAAAAAACCUCUCUGUUGCGUUUUCAUUACUGCUGUUUGAUUUGAGACAUACUGAUGGUAUGACAGCUAACAUAAAAAGUAGGAUUGUCCGUUCUGCCGAGAUGGUAGUGUAUCUUACCUUACACAUGUUAAUGGCAGCAUACCAUGAGCUGACCCUUCCUUUUUGUUGGACUAGGUGUAUGCCAUGAAUCUAGAGGUUUACCGGGGAUGAUGCUGAUCUUGAGGACUUAAAUAACAUUUUGGCUUUUUUCUAUUGAUGUAGGACUGAAAUUGGCAGAGUGAGGUAAGAUCUUCAGUGCAGGUGCUCACGCAUUGAUAUCAUCGCAUCAGGGUAGUAUGCAUGUUACCGUGGAGCAACUCUGUGUAGACCACAACAAAGAGCACAGCCAGAAGAGCAGCUGUGCAAUAAAGGAGAACUUUUCCGUAGGAUUGUCGCUAGGGGCAACUACAAGAUUGAGAUCACGUUGUUCAGCCUGGAGAUUAAACUGAACUACAUGCAAGUGCAUUCAUGGUGUCCAUCUUCAAUUUGAGGCACUCACCAAAAGCAUGGUGAAGGAAAUUGCUUGGAUGCAUUGAGAUCUCCAGAGAGAAAUAAACGAGCAGCAGUACCUAGGGGAGCAAGGUUUGGGCACGCCGAGAUGCUGGAGCUUGAGCUUGGCCUGAAGGCAACAAGAAUGGUGGCAGGUCGCGCUGCGUCGCCUCUGCAUGAUCACUAAGCGGCAUCAGCAGAGUCGGGAAAGAAGAGCCCCGGUCUCUCUAAAGAGCUCCCUGAAAAUCAAAUCCAUCGCAUAUGAGAGAUCAGAAACAGAAGGUCACAUGGUACACUGCAAUCUAGAAAGGAUGAACUCACACUAGAAAAGAUGACGUUGAUCCUAGAAGCAGAAGUCUGCAUGUUAAAAAAAAAUAGAUGGAAGGAAUGCACAUGAGACGGUGAAAUCAGUGGUAUAACAUGCAGACCUUGGUGAUUUGUUCUUGGAUUGGAUUUGAAGGUAGAAGACAAUGAGGUUUGCUCUCGCCUGGGAGGGGAAUGAAAAAGAAGCCCUCCAGAGUGGGUCGCCUUAGAGUGGUAAUGAAAAACAAGGUCAGUAGGUACAGACCUAAGGCCUAAGCGCGAACGAUCCUCCACCUGUCCCUUAUACUUGAGUGUGCUUAUCCAGAUCAGUUUUAGCUAGCUCCACGACAAACACUUGAGUGUAUUUUUGUUUUUCAGACCCCAAUCACCAAAAAAAAUGAAUUAAAGAGCACAUACACUGUCUACAGCAAGCCCGCCCAUACUGGGGCCUACAAUUUUUUAUGACUGGAAAAAAAGGUAUCCAUGCUGCUGUUCAAGCCGUUCAUUCAACAGUUCUCAAGAAUAAUCUACAACUCCGUCUUUGCAAGAUACGACAUGAGAAUCUACAGAAUCACUUUUGGCACUCAGAUCUUUUGUAUGAUAUAAUCUUCUCUUAAUAGUACUGGUAUAUACACUGUGUUUGAGUCAUCUACAACAAAUGAUGCACUGAAUUCAGAUACA